UGUCACAGUUCAACUCCAAAGCGAUGAAUGACUACAGAACUACAAACGCCUAGUGUUACUGUAUAUGAAAAGGCAGGACUUCGAUCAGUUAGGUAGCUAACGUUACACUGCUUAGUCCGGUUUAGAAUGACUUUUGCCAACAUCGACAUCAACAUAACUUGGUCAAAAUGUAUUAUCCACCUAACUCGUUCCUGAACUGGGGCAAACCAGAAAUAUUCUGCACUACUUUUAAUAAUGGUGUCUGUUUACAACGUGUGUUGGAGAAAAGAAGAGGAGGAGAUCGGAGAGAAGAAUAGUGGCGGAACGGUCACUCUCUCCUGCAGGGCAUGUAGGAUUGAGAUGGAUGAGAUGAACUACCCUGUUUGAAAUGAUCUUGUGAGGACACUGAGACAGAAGCAAGACUUCUUAGUUAGAUCCCACCGGCUCAGCCUGUCUCGUACUGUACCUUGGCAGGUGGGAACACAAUAAUUUAGUUUGAACUAUAGUAUGUGUUACUGUAUGUACAUUUCACUUUUCAGGCAUUAUAAAAAAGAUCAUGUCUGGGUAUCACAAGGAUAUGAUAUCAUUAAUUGACAAGUGCAUUUUGGUUUAGAAAAACCUUUGAUUGAAAGGAUCCACUCAGAGGACCCCAAAGCAUUGAAAUCAAAUACCUAAAUUCUAUAUUUUUUAAACACUUUUUUUUAAUGUAUUCCCUGGUUUACGGUACUAUUGCCUUUAUCCUAUAUGUAAUAUGAUGGACUGUAUAUAUCCUUUCCAUACAUAGACCAAAAUCCCAAAAAUGUACCAUGCCAUCUUUUUCAUAGAUCUGAAAGGGAUAGGGUGUAAAAAAAAACAUGGUCAAUUAAAAUCCACCUAAAGACCUAGUUAUGGGGUGGCAGGUAGCCUAGUGGUUAGAGCGUUGGGCCAGUAACCGAAAGGUUGCUAGAUCGAAUCCCCGAGCU